CGAAAAUUCUAAUAUGUCUCAUCUUCAUUCUUUCAGAUUGCAUCAUGGACAAAAGAAAUAACAGAUUUCAUUUGUCUCUAUGAAAAACAUCAAGAUAAUUUUACCUUACCAAAAAUUGCACACCUUUUCCUUCGAAGAGAGUGGUCAUUAUACCAAAAAGUUUAGGACAAACACCACAAAUAGA